AUGCCUAACACAUGCAAGUCGAACGAGACCUUCGGGUCUAGUGGCGCACGGGUGCGUAACGCGUGGGAAUCUGCCCUUGGGUUCGGAAUAACAGUUAGAAAUGACUGCUAAUACCGGAUGAUGUCGUAAGACCAAAGAUUUAUCGCCCAAGGAUGAGCCCGCGUAGGAUUAGCUAGUUGGUGAGGUAAAGGCUCACCAAGGCGACGAUCCUUAGCUGGUCUGAGAGGAUGAUCAGCCACACUGGGACUGAGACACGGCCCAGACUCCUACGGGAGGCAGCAGUGGGGAAUAUUGGACAAUGGGCGAAAACCUGAUCCAGCAAUGCCGCGUGAGUGAUGAAGGCCUUAGGGUUGUAAAGCUCUUUUACCCGGGAUGAUAAUGACAGUACCGGGAGAAUAAGCUCCGGCUAACUCCGUGCCAGCAGCCGCGGUAAUACGGAGGGAGCUAGCGUUAUUCGGAAUUACUGGGCGUAAAGCGCACGUAGGCGGCUUUGUAAGUUAGAGGUGAAAGCCCAGAGCUCAACUCUGGAAUUGCCUUUAAGACUGCAUCGCUUGAAUCAUGGAGAGGUCAGUGGAAUUCCGAGUGUGGAGGUGAAAUUCGUAGAUAUUCGGAAGAACACCAGUGGCGAAGGCGGCUGACUGGACAUGUAUUGACGCUGAGGUGCGAA
rnacentral:rRNA from 1 species